CAUGCAAGUCGAACGCGAAAGUCCCGCAAGGGAUUAGUAGAGUGGCAAACGGGUGAGUAACACGUGGGUGACCUGCCUUCGAGUGGGGGAUAACGUCCCGAAAGGGACGCUAAUACCGCAUGACAUCCUGCCUUUGAAGAGGUGGAGCUUAAAGCUGGGGAUCGCAAGACCUAGCGCUUGAAGAGGGGCCCGCGUCUGAUUAGCUAGUUGGUGAGGUAACGGCUCACCAAGGCAACGAUCAGUAUCCGGCCUGAGAGGGCGGACGGACACACUGGGACUGAGACACGGCCCAGACUCCUACGGGAGGCAGCAGUGGGGAAUUGUUCGCAAUGGGCGCAAGCCUGACGACGCAACGCCGCGUGGAGGAUGAAGACCUUCGGGUCGUAAACUCCUUUCGAUCGAGACGAACGGCCCCUGGGCUAAUCACCAGCGGAGUGACGGUACCGAGAGAAGAAGCCCCGGCUAACUCCGUGCCAGCAGCCGCGGUAAUACGGGGGGGGCUAGCGUUGUUCGGAAUUACUGGGCGUUAAGGGCUCGUAGGUGGCCAACUAAGUC
rnacentral:rRNA from 1 species